ACAAACUUGGUCAUUUAGAGGAAGUAAAAGUCGUAACAAGGUUUCCGUAGGUGAACCUGCGGAAGGAUCAUUAUCAGUACAAAGAUUUUGAAUUUAUUUCAAAAAUCUUUUACUCCUUCAUCCUAUGAUUAAUUUACCACAGUUGCUUUGGUUGAAUCAAUGAUUAAUUUCAUGAUUAAUAAGGCUUUUUAAGCUUUAUUGAUUAGUUAUUCAACCAACAGCCUUAAUUCAAACUCUUGUUUUAAAAUAUAAUGUCUGAACAAUUAAAUCUUAAAAAAUUUAAUUAAAACUUUCAACAACGGAUCUCUUGGUUCUGGCAUCGAUGAAGAACGCAGC
rnacentral:misc_RNA from 1 species